UGACCGAUAGCGAACCAGUACCGUGAGGGAAAGGUGAAAAGUACCCCGACAAGGGGAGUGAAAGAGUACCUGAAACCGAAUGCCUACAAACAGUCGGAGCCCAAGAUUUGUUCUGGGUGACGGCGUACCUUUUGUAUAAUGGGUCAGCGACUUAGUCCAACGAGCAAGCUUAAGCCGGUAGGUGUAGGCGUAGCGAAAGCGAGUCUGAAUAGGGCGAUCAGUUCGUUGGAUUAGACCCGAAACCGAGUGAUCUAGCCAUGAGCAGGCUGAAGGUAAGGUAACACUUACUGAAGGGCCGAACCCGUAUCUGUUGCAAUAGAUUGGGAUGACUUGUGGCUAGGGGUGAAAGGCCAAUCAAACUCGGAAAUAGCUGGUUCUCCGCAAAAUCUAUUUAGGUAGAGCGUUAGUCGAAUUCUCCAGGGGGUAGAGCACUGGAUGGGCUAGGGGUCCUCACCGGAUUACCAAACCUAACCAAACUCCGAAUACCUGGAAGAACUAACUAGCAGACACACGGCGGGUGCUAACGUCCGUCGUGGAGAGGGAAACAACCCUGACCACCAUCUAAGGUCCCCAAGUUAUGGCUAAGUGGGAAAGGAUGUAAGGAUCCCAAAACAACCAGGAUGUUGGCUUAGAAGCAGCCACCAUUUAAAGAAAGCGUAACAGCUCACUGGUCUAAAUAAGGGUCCCUGCGCCGAAAAUGUAACGGGGCUAAAGCCAUACACCGAAGCUGUGGAUUUACUCCUUAGGGAGUAAGUGGUAGCGGAGCGUUCCGUAAGCCUGUGAAGGGAGACUCGUGAGAGCUCCUGGAGGUAUCGGAAGUGAGAAUGCUGACAUGAGUAACGAUAAAGGGAGUGAGAGACUCCCUCGCCGAAAGUCCAAGGGUUCCUGCUUAAAGUUAAUCUGAGCAGGGUGAGUCGG
rnacentral:rRNA from 1 species